CAGCCGCGGUAAUUCCAGCUCCAAUAGCGUAUAUUAACGUUGUUGCAGUUAAAAAGCUCGUAGUUGAAGUUUAGAUAAUUUGAAGGGGGUGUUAGUAUUCGUACUAUGUGCUCUCUUUAGAUUAUCGACUUCCAGGUAAGUAUAAUGUACCUUUCGGGGUUCGUUAUACCAGACUGGUCUUUUACUGUGAGAAAAUUAGAGUGUUUAAAGCAGACUUUUUUAGUUUGAAUAGAUUAGCAUGGAAUAAUAAGAUUGGCUUUCAUAGUCGAUUUUUUGGUUUGUUUAUGAAAGCAAGAUUAAUAGGGACAGUUGGGGGUAUUCAUAUUCAAUAGCUAGAGGUGAAAUUCUAUGAUUUAUGGAAGAUGAACAAGUGCGAAAGCA
rnacentral:rRNA from 1 species